AAAAGAAAAGGGUGAAAAGAACAAAGUUUUGUCCAUCUUUGUUCAUCAUAGCUGAAAGUUAGAGAAGAGAAAGGAGAGGAGAAAGCUCUUGAGUAUUCGGUCAUUAGGAGGAGGAAAAUUGAAGAAAAUCCCCAACCAUAGUGGGCUUGGAGCUGUGAGGGAAUUCGGAGUGGCCACCCGUUCUGAAAGUUUGAUUUUCUUCUGGUGAAUUGGACAUCCUUUUAAUUACGUUUGUGGUUUUGGGCUUUUAAAUGUAAUAAGGCCGCUUAUUUAUUUUUGGUGGUUUUUAAUAUGUAUUACUAAGAUAGGUAAUACUUAUUUUAACUGUUGAAAUUGGAUAGCUUUAGGGCGCGUUUUCAAAAACAACAGUUGAUUUCAAAAUAACACGACAACAAGCAAAGCUUCCGCAAUGAAA